AUUGAACGCUGGCGGCAUGCCUAACACAUGCAAGUCGAGCGGAGCGGCGGACGGGCGAGUAAUUCCUAGGAAUCUGCCUGGCCGUGGGGGAUAACGUCCGGAAACGGGCGCUAAUACCGCAUACUAUCAGAUGAGCCUAGGUCGGAUUAGCUAGUUGGUGGGGUAAAGGCCUACCAAGGCGACGAUCCGUACAUGGUGUGAGAGGAUGACCAGUCACACUGGAACUGAGAAACGGUCCAAACACCUACGGGGGGCAGCAGAGGGGAAUAUUGGACAAUGGGCGAAAGCCUAAUCCGGUCCGGCCGGGGAGUUGAAGAAGGUCUUCGGAUUGUAAGGCACUUUGAGUUAGGAGGCGUUACCAACAGAAUAAGCACCGGCUAACUACGUGCCAGCAGCCGCGGUAAUUC
rnacentral:rRNA from 1 species